rnacentral:rRNA from 1 species
AGUUCGGAUUGAAGGCUGAAAUUCGCCUUCAUGAAAGCCGGAAUUGCUAGUAAUGGCAGGUCAGCAUACUGCCGUGAAUACGUUCCCGGGCCUUGUACACACCGCCCGUCACACCAUGAGGGUUGGAAAUACCCGAAGCCUGUGAGCUAACAGUAAUGAGGCAGCAGUCGAAGGUAGAGCCAAUGAUUGGGGUGAAGUCGUAACAAGGUAAC